AAACACUCAGAAGCAUUUCGUUUGCCUUGAUCCUGGAGGCGCGCGGCCGUCUCCCGCUGCCGAGGAUUUGACGCGAACUCCUGGCAGAUCAGAAAUGUUCAGGCGAACGGCGGUUAUAUUUGUCCGUGGACCCAAGACUUCGUUGACGGGCAAAUAUGGAACCCUGCAACAAGGACUGUAGUGUGAAUAGCGUGCUGCGCUGCUCUCGCCAACUGAAAAGAACUCUGGUGUGCUGUAAAUGCCGACUGCACAAUAUGUGACUGGCCCGCGGCUGCUUUGAAGUCUGUGCGCUGUGGAGCUUGAAGCACUUCUCGG